GACAGAGGAUGCAAGCGUUAUCCGGAAUGAUUGGGCGUAAAGCGUCUGUAGGUGGCUUUUAAGUCUGCCGUCAAAUCCCAGGGCUUAACCCUGGACAGGCGGUGGAAACUACCAAGCUGGAGUACGGUAGGGGCAGAGGGAAUUCCCAGUGUAGCGGUGAAAUGCGUAGAGAUUGGGAAGAACACCGGUGGCGAAAGCGCUCUGCUGGGCCGCAACUGACACUAAUGGACGAAAGCUAGGGGAGCGAAUGGG
rnacentral:rRNA from 1 species